CAGGAAACAAAAUAUUGUUCUUUAGUCUUUUAUGAUGAAACUAUUUUUUAACAAUAUUAUACAUUUUUUUGCUUUCUUCUCUACUUGUAAGCAUAUGUUAUUAAUAACUAUUCGUUACUUUCUUAGUAAUGUUUAUAAUAAUAUAAAUAAGAAUUUUAUAUACACUGCUGAAAUGGCUAAUUGUAUCAUGUUACAAUCGUCCCCAGAGGAAAUGUUACAAGUGAUGGACCCCAUACGUCUAAUGUCAAAAGGUCACUUCGGCAAUUUAAAAUCAUGAAUUGUGCACAUUUUUUCAAUAAAUAUACAUAUUUAAUAUGUUUUGAUAUAAAAGUAAAAGAGGAGAGAGUUAUCUGUAGGCCAACAGGAAACAAAUUCCUUUCUAAAGUAAACUUUACUUACUAGUUAGAUUUUGCAGGAAUAAUUUUAUGAUUUUUACGAUAGUUUAUAAGUGAAAACAAUAUUAUAUCGCUCAUUAGUUCUUUGAGCUAUUCAUCACUAUUUUAUUUUUCUGUAUUUUUUGAUGUAAAUCAAAAAUAUAAGAGAGAUAAAAUAG
rnacentral:lncRNA from 1 species